GAUGAACGCUAGCGGCAGGCUUAAUACAUGCAAGUCGAGGGGCAGCAUGACUGUAGCAAUACAGUUGAUGGCGACCGGCAAACGGGUGCGGAACACGUACAGAACCUUCCUUCGAACGGGGAAUAGCCCAGAGAAAUUUGGAUUAAUACCCCAUAGUAUAGCGGAGUGGCAUCACUCUGUUAUUAAAGAUUUAUCACUUGAAGAUGGCUGUGCGGCUGAUUAGGUAGUUGGCGGGGUAACGGCCCACCAAGCCUGCGAUCAGUAACUGGUGUGGGAGCACGACCAGUCACACGGGCACUGAGAAACGGGCCCGACUCCUACGGGAGGCAGCAGUAAGGAAUAUUGGUCAAUGGACGAAAGUCUGAACCAGCCAUGCCGCGUGGAGGAUGAAGGUCCUCUGGAUUGUAAACUUCUUUUAUAUGGGACGAAAAAAGGCUUUUCUAAGUCGUCUGACGGUACCAUAUGAAUAAGCACCGGCUAACUCCGUGCCAGCCGCCGCCGUAACAC
rnacentral:rRNA from 1 species